rnacentral:rRNA from 1 species
AAUCAACGCUGGCGGCGUGCCUCAGACAUGCAAGUCGAACGCUGCUGUUCGCCUUCGGGUGGACAGCGGAGUGGCGCACGGGUGAGUAACACGUAGGUAAUCUACCUUUGGGUGGGGAAUAACAGCCGGAAACGGCUGCUAAUACCGCAUAAUGCAGCGGCAUCACAUGAUGACAGUUGUUAAAGCGAGGGAUCGUAAGACCUCGCGCCUGAAGAGGAGCCUGCGGCAGAUUAGGUAGUUGGUGAGGUAAUGGCUCACCAAGCCUGCGAUCUGUAACCGGCUGGAGAGGGCGGUCGGUCACACUGACACUGACAGUACGGGUCAGACUCCUACGGGAGCAGCAGUCGGGAAUUUUGGGCAAUGGGCGC